rnacentral:rRNA from 1 species
GACGAACGCUGGCGGCGUGCUUAACACAUGCAAGUCGAACGGAAAGGCCCUGCUUUUGUGGGGUGCUCGAGUGGCGAACGGGUGAGUAACACGUGAGUAACCUGCCCUUGACUUUGGGAUAACUUCAGGAAACUGGGGCUAAUACCGGAUAGGAGCUCCUGCUGCAUGGUGGGGGUUGGAAAGUUUCGGCGGUUGGGGAUGGACUCGCGGCUUAUCAGCUUGUUGGUGGGGUAGGGGCUUACCAAGGCUUUGACGGGUAGCCGGCCUGAGAGGGUGACCGGCCACAUUGGGACUGAGAUACGGCCCAGACGCCUACGGGAGGCAGCAGUGGGGAAUAUUGCACAAUGGGCGGAAGCCUGAUGCAGCAACGCCGCGUGCGGGAUGACGGCCUUCGGGUUGUAAACCGCUUUCGCCUGUGACGAAGCGUGAGUGACGGUAAUGGGUAAAGAAGCACCGGCUAACUACGUG